rnacentral:rRNA from 1 species
UACGUAGGGGGCAAGCGUUGUCCGGAUUUAUUGGGCGUAAAGAGCGUGUAGGCGGCUUGGCAAGUCCGCUGUGAAAACUUGAGGCUUAACCUCGAGACGUCGGUGGAAACUGCCUGGCUAGAGUCCGGAAGAGGAGAGUGGAAUUCCUGGUGUAGCGGUGAAAUGCGCAGAUAUCAGGAAGAACACCCGUGGCUAAGGCGGCUCUCUGGGACGGUACUGACGCUGAGACGCGAAAGCGUGGGGAGCGAACAGG